GAGGUACAAUGUUCUAGAAUGCCUGUAUGAAGAAAACCCGGAGCAGAAAAAGGGCUUCUUGCCAGCUGAUGCCUUAGACUUAGGAUUACAGAUAGGCGGCUGAGUCUCCAAAGCAUUUGGAAGGCAGAGGCAACUGGAUCUCUAUAAGUUCAAGGCCAGACUUCUCUACAUGUGGUAUUGUCAGCACAGUGGGAGAAGUGGAAGGGAACAUCAAAAACCACGCUGCAGCAGAAAGCAUAGCCAGCGCUCGAGCCAGCCACUGGGGGUCUUGGAAGAAGCUGGCAGUGAGGACAGAGUCCUUACAGCAGCAAAGCAGUGAGUGCGGACUGAGCUCAGCUCCCCAGAGGCCAGGCAGCACACUACCAUGGCCACAGCUACUAAAAUGGGCUUUAAAAAGAAGUGGGGCACGUUGAAGAGACUCAGAGAAAUUCCUUACAAGGCAGUGGCAAGAAAAGAACACACAUGAACCACACUCAAAACCAGGAAUGGACAAUGUAUGGUUAGUAACUAUCAACUUAACAGAAUCCAGACAUACCUGGGAAAUGGCCUCUGGGUAUGCUUGUGGAGGAUGAACUUAAUUACAUUAACCGAUGUGGGCAGACCCUUCUUAAAUGUGGGUGGAACCAUUCCCUGGGCAGAGGAGUUGGGACUCAAUAAGGACAAAGUGAGCUAAGCACUAACUAGCACAUUCAUUUGUUCUGUCUCUUGACUGGAUGCAUGUGAGCAGUUGCUUAAGUUCCUGUACCUUGGCUUCCGCCAUGAUGAACUGUACUUUACCCUGUGAGCCAGAAGAAACCUUUCUCCUGUAUGUUGCUUUGGUCAAGGUAUUUUGCUAGAGCAAGAAGACAAGGAACUAAGAUACAAUGCUCUAAAGCCUCAGAAGACUGAAAUGCACACGCAUGUUAAACUCUCACUCACUGCUCCCUGAACUCGUCUCUAAGAACACUUCUAGUCAUAUCACUAAGAAAUGUCAGAAAUAAUACCUUUCAAAACACAGGACUGGAAAUUGGAGAGAUGGCUCAGUUGUCAAGAGCACUGGCUGCUCUUUCAGAGAGCCUGAGUUCAAUUCCCAACACUC